GCAGCCUACGGGGCGCAGCAGUGGGGGAUAUUGCACAAUGGGGGGAACCCUGACGCAGCGACGCCGCGUGAGUGAAGAAGUAUUUCGGUAUGUAAAGCUCUAUCAGCAGGGAAGAAAAUGACGGUACCUGACUAAGAAGCUCCGGCUAAAUACGUGCCAGCAGCCGCGGUAAUACGUAUGGAGCAAGCGUUAUCCGGAUUUACUGGGUGUAAAGGGAGCGUAGGCGGCCCUGUAAGUCUGAUGUGAAAAUUUGGGGCUCAACCCCAAACGUGCAUUGGAAACUGCAGGGCUUGAGUGCCG
rnacentral:rRNA from 1 species